rnacentral:tRNA from 1 species
GAUAGUAUAGCUCCGUGGUAGAGUGUGUGCCUAACAUGCACAAAGUCCUGAGUUCGAAAUCCAGUACCUCCA